rnacentral:rRNA from 1 species
UGGUAGUGUAUUGGACAACCAUGGCAGUCACGGGUAACGGAGAAUUAGGGUUCGAUUCCGGAGAGGGAGCCUGAGAAACGGCUACCACAUCUACGGAAGGCAGCAGGCGCGCAAAUUGCCCAAUCCCGACACGGGGAGGCAGUGACAAGAAAUAACAACUCUAGGAUUUCUUAGAAGUGUAAUGAGGAUAAUUUACAAACCUUACCGAAUGCAAUUGGAGGGCAAGUCUGGUGCCAGCAGCCGCGGUAAUUCCAGCUCCAAUAGCGUAUAUUAAAGUUGUUGCAGUUAAAAAGCUCGUAGUUGAAGUUCUGAUCGUUCAGGUCCUCAGCCUUAGGCGGGGAUUCUGACGGUCAUCCGCUUGCAAACAUAUGUUCGAUCUUCACCGGUUGGCUAUGUGAGUAAGCAAUUUACCUUGAGAAAAACAGAGUGUUCCAGGCAGGUUUGUCCGGAAUGCAUUAGCAUGGAAUAAUAGAACAUGACUGAAGUCUAUUUAUUGGUUUAAGGCUUUAGUAAUGAUUAAUAGGAACAGUCGGGGGCAUUCGUACUCAGCAGUCAGAGGUGAAAUUCUAAGAUUUGCUGAAGACGAACUAAUGCGAAAGCAUUUGCCAAGGAUGUUUUCAUUAAUCAAGAACGAAAGUUAGGGGAUCAAAGACGAUCAGA